rnacentral:rRNA from 1 species
AAGGUGAGGACAGUGGCGGACGGGUGAGUAACGCGUGAGCAAUCUGCCUUUCAGAGGGGGACAACAGUUGGAAACGACUGCUAAUACCGCAUAACGUACCGGUGCGGCAUCGCACUGAUACCAAAGAUUAUAUCGCUGAGAGAUGAGCUCGCGUCCAAUUAGCUAGAUGGUGGGGUAACGGCUCACCAUGGCGACGAUUGGUAGCCGGACUGAGAGGUUGAACGGCCACAUUGGGACUGAGACACGGCCCAGACUCC